AGCGGUGGAGCAUGUGGAUUAAUUCGAAGCAACGCGAAGAACCUUACCUGGGUUUGACAUGUUUGGAUGCCUAUCUAGAAACAGAUUUUGGCUGCCCUUCGGGGUGAAACUUACACAGGUGCUGCAUGGCUGUCGUCAGUUCGUGUCGUGAGACGUCGGGUUAAGUCCUUCAACGAGCGAAACCCUUGCCGUUAGUUACCAGCGAGUAAUGUCGGGGACUCUAACGGGACUGCCGGUGUUAAACCGGAGGAAGGCGGGGACGACGUCAAGUCAUCAUGGCCUUUAUGCCCAGGGCUUCACACGUGCUACAAUGGCGGUUACAGAGGGAAGCGAUAUCGCGAGAUGGAGCAAAUCUCUUAAAGGCCGUCCCAGUACGGAUCGCAGGCUGUCAACUCGGCUGCGUGAAGGUGGAAUCGCUAGUAAUCGCGUAUCAGCAAUGACGCGGUGAA
rnacentral:rRNA from 1 species